rnacentral:rRNA from 1 species
UACGUAGGGGCGAGCGUUGUCCGGAAUCAUUGGGCGUAAAGAGCGUGUAGGCGGUUCGGUAAGUCGGCUGUGAAAGUCCAGGGCUCAACCCUGGGAUGCCGGUCGAUACUGCCGGACUAGAGUUCGGAAGAGGCGAGUGGAAUUCCCGGUGUAGCGGUGAAAUGCGUAGAGAUCGGCAGGAACACCCAAGGGAAGGCCAGCUGACUGGCCCGGUACUGACACUCAGGGACGACAGCGUGGGAGCGAACCGG